GGAAGGGACCUCUAGAGAUCAUUGAGUCCAACCCCCCUGCAAAGCAGGUCCCCUACAGCAGGCUACACAGGCAGGCGUCCAGCGUAUUCUAAAGUCAAGGGUGAUGAGAUGUGGAUGGGGCGCAGAGAGUUGAAGGGCUGCACAGCUUUCACCAGAUCCUAUGGGACAUGUUAGAUCUGUCAGGACUGUUGGAAAAUUAAGGGAGCUGUCAGGAUAUCCUCAUACAGAGAGCUAUGAACUCUCAGCUGUGCAUCUUACAAGUUUGAAUAUGCUUUGAGGUGCUGACAUCUUUGAAAAAAAUAAAGAGAAGCUGAUUUCGGCAAGAGCAGAAGUGCCAGGCAGGAGGUAA